UCACUGUNACGNCCUGAGUGUUGCGGAUGUUUCGCAGAAGUUGACCGAACUUGAUUAUUUAGAGGAAGUAAAAGUCGUAACAAGGUUUCCGUAGGUGAACAUCNACAUUNCGAACGCACNNACUCCUUUCAAGUUAUAAACAAAAACACAAUAUAUAAAAUACUUAUAUUGUAAAAUUAUGGCAAAUGCCAAAAAGAAACAAAAUAACAAUAAUAAAAAUGUUUAUUAUUGUAUCGCCUCCUAGGCAAAAAAGUAUAGUAUAAAGUGUUUGUGUGUGUUACACAUUACACAAAAAUUGACUUAUUUAUAUAAAAUUUGUAAAAACUGAAAUUGUGUGGACGUUAUACAAAAUUAAUUUGUAUAGAAAAUGUCUAAAAAUUUGAAAUACAUAAAAUUAUNGUUGUACUUGUAUAAAAUUGAAAAGUAAUUUUUUAUNUNAGUCAAUCAUUGUUCGUUUUUUAAAAACUUGAGACAUUCGCAACAAAAAUUUUAUGUUUUAGUUAUNAAAGAGAANAAUAAUAAGCAAAAAUUAUUGAAGGNNUUGAUNUAUGCCAAUUUGAANCNUUUUGGUGUAUUUUUGAUUUC
rnacentral:rRNA from 1 species